AGAAACUCGAAAGGAAGUUCGACGGGGGCCCGCACAAGCGGUGGAGUAUGUGGUUUAAUUCGAUGCAACGCGAAGAACCUUACCUGGUCUUGACAUCCCGGAGACCCUUAGGAAACUAGGGGUGCUUCCAUCUGGAAGAAUCUGGAGACAGGUGCUGCAUGGCUGUCGUCAGCUCGUGUCGUGAGAUGUUGGGUUAAGUCCCGCAACGAGCGCAACCCUUGCCUUUAGUUGCCAGCAGUUCGGCUGGGCACUCUAAAGGGACUGCCGGUGUUAAACCGGAGGAAGGUGGGGAUGACGUCAAGUCCUCAUGGCCUUUAUGACCAGGGCUACACACGUACUACAAUGGCCGAUACAAAGGGCAGCGACACUGCGAGGUGAAGCCAAUCCCGUAAAAUCGGUCUCAGUCCGGAUUGGAGUCUGCAACUCGACUCCAUGAAGUUGGAAUCGCUAGUAAUCGUGGAUCAGCAUGCCACGGUGAAUACGUUCCCGGGCCUU
rnacentral:rRNA from 1 species